rnacentral:rRNA from 1 species
ACGGUCCUAAGGUAGCGAAAUUCCUUGUCGGGUAAGUUCCGACCCGCACGAAAGGUGUAACGAUUUGGGCACUGUCUCAACGAGGGACCCGGUGAAAUUGAAAUACCUGUGAAGAUGCAGGUUACCCGCGACUGGACAGAAAGACCCCAUGGAGCUUUACUGUAACCUGACAUUGGGUUUUGUUGUAUUACGUACAGGAUAGGUGGGAGGCUUAGAAGGCUGGACGCUAGUCUGGCUGGAGCCGGCGUUGGGAUACCACCCUUGAUACAACGGAAUUCUAACCGAGAGAGUAACGAAAUCCGGGACAGUGUCAGGCGGGCAGUUUGACUGGGGCGGUCGCCUCCGAAAGAGUAACGGAGGCGCCCAAAGGUUCCCUCAGCGCGGCCGGAAAUCGCGCGAAGAGUGUAAAGGCAGAAGGGAGCUUGACUGCGAGCCAAACACGGCGAGCAGGUACGAAAGUAGGGCUUAGUGAUCCGGUGGUACCGAGUGGAAGGGCCAUCGCUCAACGGAUAAAAGCUACCCUGGGGAUAACAGGCUAAUCUCUCCCAAGAGUCCAUAUCGACGGGGAGGUUUGGCACCUCGAUGUCGGCUCAUCACAUCCUGGGGCUGAAGUCGGUCCCAAGGGUUGGGCUGUUCGCCCAUUAAAGUGGUACGUGAGCUGGGUUCAGAACGUCGUGAGACAGUUCGGUCCCUAUCCAUCGCGGGCGCAAGAGAUUUGAAGGGGUCUGCUCCUAGUACGAGAGGACCGGAGUGGACGGACCGCUGGUGUACCAGUUAUUCCGCCAGGAGUACAGCUGGGUAGCUACGUCCGGACUGGAUAAACGCUGAAAGCAUCUAAGCGUGAAGCCAUCCUUAAGAUGAGAUCUCUCACAGAGAAAUCUGGUAAGACACCUUAAAGAAGAUGAGGUAGAUAGGCCGGGAGUGUAAGUGCAGCAAUGUAUUGAGCUGACCGGUACUAAUAUGUCGAGGGCUUGACUUC